AAUGAACGCUGGCGGCAUGCCUAACACAUGCAAGUCGAACGGCCGGACGGUAAGCUUUUGCUCUUACGGGUGGCGACUGGCGGAUGAGUGACGCAUGCAUCGCCUUCUUCUAUUUCGUGGAGGAUUACGUAGAGCAACUUAUGCUAAUACCGCAUAUGUUGUACGGGUGGGAGCAGUGGAUAUUCGCAGCUUUCGCGUCUCUAUUAGCCGACGUCGGAUUAGCUAGUUGGGUAGGUAAGGGCACACCAAGGCGACGAUCCGUAGCUGAUCUGAGAGGAUGAUCAGCCACACUGGAACUGAGACACGGUCCAGACUCCUACGGGAGGCAGCAGUAGGGAAUCUUGGGCAAUGGGCGCAAGCCUGACGCAGCAACGCCGCGUGAGUGAAGAAGGUCUUCGGAUCGUAAAGCUCUGUUGUUAGGGAAGAACAGAUGUAGAAUAAACCCCGGCCGUUUUGACGGUACCUAAUGAAUAAGCACCGGCUAACUACGUG
rnacentral:rRNA from 1 species